rnacentral:rRNA from 1 species
CAGCCGCCGCGGGAAUACGUAGGUGGCAAGCGUUGUCCGGAAUUAUUGGGCGUAAAGGGCUCGCAGGCGGUUUCUUAAGUCUGAUGUGAAAGCCCCCGGCUCAACCGGGGAGGGUCAUUGGAAACUGGGAAACUUGAGUGCAGAAGAGGAGAGUGGAAUUCCACGUGUAGCGGUGAAAUGCGUAGAGAUGUGGAGGAACACCAGUGGCGAAGGCGACUCUCUGGUCUGUAACUGACGCUGAGGAGCGAAAGCGUGGAGAGCGAACAGGAUUAGAUACCCCCGUAGUCCCUGUCUCUUAUAC